rnacentral:lncRNA from 1 species
GCCGUCACUGAGGACUCGCAGGUGUGCAGAUAAAGGAAAUGGAACAGCGGAGGAAAAGCUCGCCACCCCUCUGCUUCAGAAGCAAACGAGAGCUCGCAAACCAAAAUACAUGGCGGAAGGAGGGGCUGGAGCGACACGUCCGUGAGGGCGGCGGCGGCGGCGGCAGCGGCGGGUGGCGGCAGCGGCGGCGGUGGCGGCGUUUACUCACAUCCAUUCCAGAUGCUGGCUAGACUUCCUGGAGCCAGCUCUCUCGGUGCUGGGGCUGGAUUUAGUUGUCUUUCCCUCCAGGCGAGUGAAAGCGCAGUGACUCACGCCACCGAUGCAUCAUGCUGUAAGCGCUCCGUUGCCAGGCCUCAAAUGCUCCCGCUGGCCAUCGCCGCGCAACGGCUCCAAGUGUCUGCUGCCCGCUCCUCCAGGAAACAGAAGUCUGGAAGAUUCCAGAGGCUUUGGGACACUUUAGCUCAUGCGCUAAUGAGGGACGCGCAACACUGAACACAUUCAGGCUACUUUCCUCUGACUUGUGUGCUCUGUUCUACAGAGGGGUGAUUACAACUGGAAAAACAAGCAAAAAAGAAAGGCAAAUAUAAGCAAGGGAUGUUCAUAUUGGUCAAGUAUAAAGCUAUGGAUAGCCUGACAAGGCAAAUAUAAUGCAAGAGGUGCUCUAACUGGUCAAAAAUAAAGCAAGGAGCAUUCUAUUGGUCGAAACUAGA